AUAAAUAAGAUUAAAACAUUAUUAUGUUUUUCAUUGAGGUUAAAUGUAUACUCACAUUGAAGAUGUUUAUUGUAGUUUUCAUUGGAUGUUGCAUGUCAUCGAUCUUCGAGAGAACUGUGUUUAUGUUUUGGACUCUCUUCAAAGUAAAGUUAACGAAGACAUCCAUGGAGUCAUAAAUGUGACUUAUGAUUUACUUCUUAUUUGACUUCAUUGUCUUCUAAUUCUAAUGUUUCCAAAUGUAUAGAGGAUUAAAAACAUGGCAAGCUAAGCAUGAUUUACAACAUUAUCGGUCAAAUCCGAAAUGGAAACCUAUAAAGUGUCCUCGUCAAUUGGAUUCGGUUGGGUGUGGGUAUUAUGUCCAAAAGUAUAUACAUGAAAUCGUGCAUAAUUCUAGUACUCCCAUCACUAGCCUUGUAAGUUUCUACUUUCACUUUUUAUAUGUUACAAAUUACAUAAAUUAUCUAAACUUAUUCUUUCCAUACCUUUCUUUUUGCGUAGUUUAAUACAAAAAAUGCAUAUACGCAAGAGGAGAUUGACGAGAUUUGAACAAAAUAUGCAAGCUUUGUUAGCCGAUUUGUGUAAGCUUUUACACUUUUUUUUGUAGUUUAUAAGUUACUAGUACUAAUACUAAUUGUUUUAAUAUAUAAGCUACGAGAUUCUAGUACUACUUGUUGUACAUACUUUAAUUUUCAGGUUUUCUGCUUGUAGUAGUUUAUGAAUAGGUGUUGUAUUGUAGUGUUUUAGGUGUUGACUUUAGAGUGUAUUUGUUGUAGUACUAUGUGGAAAGUGUGUAUUAGUGGAGGAAUUUGUUGUACACAUACUUUAAUA